CAUCUAGGUGCUGGUUUCCUGGUUUGGCCUUGGUGGUGGCAUGAGUUCUGACCCUGGGGCAUGAGAGAGUUGCCACUGCUGUUUUGCUUAGUGUUUUUAGUUAUUGUUUUAAUGUUUUAAUCAAGCUUGACACCCUUGCUUUUAUCCAUUUUUUUAAACUGUUUUGUGCUCAUUUUUAGUAUCUUGGUGUCUGGACCUGGCUGAAGGUGGCUGCCUCCUCCUUUUAUCCUUAUGGUAGCUGGUGCUCCUGGUGAGAGUUGGAUCAGAGAUCUCCCUUGGUGGUGUUUGUGGCUACCCGCCAGUGCAGUGGGGCUGAGGCGAUCCAGGAGGCAGCCGCCCUCAUGCAGUGUUGGAGUGCGGUCCAACUGUCCGAGUCUAUUUUAACUUUCUCUUUUAUGGAAUUUGUGUCAAGUUUUUAAUAAAUUGUAUAUUCUUAACCUUUA